AGUUAAUGAUGAUUUAAAAUAUAAGAGUAGUGGACAGAAGUCAUUUCUGAGUAAAUCUACCACUGAGACU
rnacentral:snoRNA from 1 species